AUACUCUGAUGAUAUCAGCAGACUCCCAAACUUCCUCGGCCGGCCACAGCUACAUAUAUAAUGUUAUAUAUAUAUAAAGUACUUUUAAGAGUGAAAACGAAAGUACUUUUUAAGUAAAAGGACGGCUAGCAUAUAUAUUUUCAGCAGCAGCUAGCAUGCAUAGUUUAAGGUGCAAGCUUCAUCUUAAUACGACUACUAGUAUAAAGUGAAGUAUUAGGUAUCAAAAGAAGAUAUAUAAGCCUAUAAUUAGUAAUGGUAAUCCCUGUAACUGUAAGUUGUUUUUCCUGUACUAUAAUCCGCAAUUACCGCGCCUCCAGAGAAUUGAGCGGCCUGGUAGCUAUCAAUUACCGGCUUCCUGAGGCCAGGGUCUUCAUGACGAGGAUCACGUGGUUGAGUACUAGAAAGCAUUCGUCCAGAUUCCUUAGGGCUACCGUAGGUUUCGUCUAAGAGAGAAAAGCCUUCCUUGCCAACCCUGACAAGCUUGUUUGACUGACGAGCUUGAGGUGGUGCUGCCAUUAGGGAUGUAUAAGUGCACAGAAUGCUUAAUUAAGAAAAUAAGAUUUUUUUUUUUUAAUAAAUUUGCUUGUGUCUUGCCUGUAACAUUUGAG
rnacentral:lncRNA from 1 species